rfam:Schistosoma haematobium scaffold756_41, whole genome shotgun sequence.
AUCCAGCUGAGGAGUCUCAAAUAGGAUGAAGUGACGCGCGUUCUGGAU